UCAUGCCCACUUUGACAGAAUGAACUAAAAUUGGCCCAAUACAGAGAAAAUUAUCAUAGAGCCUACAUAAAGAUGACACAGGUUUUUGAGGCAUUCCAUUUUGGU
rnacentral:snRNA from 1 species